rnacentral:rRNA from 1 species
GACGAACGCUGGCGGCGUGCUUAACACAUGCAAGUCGAACGUGAUUUUUGUGGAAAGCCCUUCGGGGACGGAAAUGAAAUGAAAGUGGCGAACGGGUGAGUAACACGUGAGCAACCUACCUUACACAGGGGGAUAGCCGUUGGAAACGACGAUUAAUACCGCAUGAGACCACAAAGCCACAUGGCUUAGGGGUAAAAGAUUUAUCGGUGUAAGAUGGGCUCGCGUCUGAUUAGCUAGUUGGAAGGGUAAAGGCCUACCAAGGCAACGAUCAGUAGCCGGUCUGAGAGGAUGAACGGCCACAUUGGAACUGAGACACGGUCCAAACUCCUACGGGAGGCAGCAGUGGGGAAUAUUGCACAAUGGGGGGAACCCUGAUGCAGCGACGCCGCGUGAGCGAAGAAGGUUUUCGAAUCGUAAAGCUCUGUCCUAUGAGAAGAUAGUGACGGUAUCAUAGGAGGAAGCCCCGGCUAAAUACGUGCCAGCAGCCGCGGUAAUACGUAUGGGGCGAGCGUUGUCCGGAAUUAUUGGGCGUAAAGGGUACGUAGGCGGCCUUUUAAGUCAGGUGUGAAAGCGUGAGGCUUAACCUCAUUAAGCACUUGAAACUGGAAGGCUUGAGUGAAGGAGAGGAAAGUGGAAUUCCUAGUGUAGCGGUGAAAUGCGUAGAUAUUAGGAGGAAUACCGGUGGCGAAGGCGACUUUCUGGACUUUUACUGACGCUCAGGUACGAAAGCGUGGGGAGCAAACAGG